rnacentral:tRNA from 1 species
GGGCACUUGGCGCAGCUGGUAGCGCGCUCGCUUCGCACAGAGUCCCGGCCUGCCCCGCCUGGAGUGCCUGCGAGAGGUCGUGGGUUCAAAUCCCACAGUGUCCA